GGGGUAGCAAUACUCGCUGGCGACCGGCAAACGGGUGCGGAACACGUACACAACCUUCCUUAAAGUGGGGAAUAGCCCAGGGAAACUUGGAUUAAUACCCCGUAAUAUUAUUAGAUGGCAUCAUUUGAUAAUUAUAGCUCCGGCGCUUAAAGAUGGGUGUGCGGCUGAUUAGGUAGUUGGCGGGGUAACGGCCCACCAAGCCUACGAUCAGUAACUGGUGUGAGAGCACGACCAGUCACACGGGCACUGAGACACGGGCCCGACUCCUACGGGAGGCAGCAGUAAGGAAUAUUGGUCAAUGGACGCAAGUCUGAACCAGCCAUGCCGCGUGGAGGAUGAAGGUCCUCUGGAUUGUAAACUUCUUUUAUCUGGGAAGAAACCCAAGGUUUCUACUUUGGUUGACGGUACCAGAUGAAUAAGCACCGGCUAACUCCGUGCCAGCAGCCGCGGUAAUACGGAGGGUGCAAGCGUUAUCCGGAUUCACUGGGUUUAAAGGGUGCGUAGGUGGGCUAGUAAGUCAGUGGUGAAAUCUCCGGGCUUAACCCGGAAACUGCCAUUGAUACUAUUAGUCUUGAAUGUCGUGGAGGUAAGCGGAAUAUGUCAUGUAGCGGUGAAAUGCUUAGAUAUGACAUAGAACACCGAUAGCGUAGGCAGCUUACUACACGAAUAUUGACACUGAGGCACGAAAGCGUGGGGAUCAAACAGGAUUAGAUACCCUGGUAGUCCACGCCCUAAACGAUGGAUACUCGACAUCAGCGAUACACUGUUGGUGUCUGAGCGAAAGCAUUAAGUAUCCCACCUGGGAAGUACG
rnacentral:rRNA from 1 species